rnacentral:rRNA from 1 species
GACAUUGUGAUUGUCCUUGAUCAACAAAAAGAGUAUAUAGCUCUUCGGGAAUGUGCCAUUUUGGGGAUUCCUACCAUUUCUUUAGUCGAUACAAAUUGUGACCCGGAUCUCGUGAAUAUAUCGAUUCCAGCCAACGAUGACACUAUGACUUCAAUUUGAUUGAUUCUUAACAAAUUAGUAUUUUCAAUUUGUGAGACGGGGGCCCUGACCAGUCCGGCCCCCAGCCGAACACAAUUCCGGAGACCCAUGUGGCUCCAGAAUCGAGUGAGCAACCCCCUUCAAAGGAGGGGGAGUGCCAACUCCAGCGGCAACCUCCACUAA